rnacentral:rRNA from 1 species
CCUACGGGAGGCAGCAGUGGGGAAUAUUGCACAAUGGGGGAAACCCUGAUGCAGCGACGCCGCGUGAGGGAAGAAGGUUUUCGGAUUGUAAACCUCUGUCCUUGGUGACGAAAGAAGACGGUAGCCAAGGAGGAAGCCACGGCUAACUACGUGCCAGCAGCCGCGGUAAUACGUAGGUGGCAAGCGUUAUCCGGAUUUACUGGGUGUAAAGGGAGCGUAGGCGGCGCGUUAAGUCUGAUGUGAAAACCCGAGGCUCAACCACGGGAGUGCAUUGGAAACUGGCGGGCUGGAGUGCCGGAGAGGUA